AGAGGGCGUGAAACCGCUUAGAAGGAAACGAGAGGCGUUGCUUUUUUUAACGAGAUUCAUCUGCUAUUUGUGCAUUUGUAUGAAUUGUAGAGCAUUUCUUGUUAGUUCGCACUGAGAGCAGUAAUUAUAACUGAGUGUUUAAUCAGAGUAAAGCAUUCUUUUUAUGCCGCUUAUGAUUAAUGCAGAUUUUUAAUCUACUGUUAUAAAACACCCAUAAUUGUUUAUUUUCGUCUGAAGGUCAAUGUGCAUUUCUUGUUCGAAAUUUCGACGAGAUUUGUGAAUAUAUUCCGGAUGAUGUUAUAUAAAUAGGUGGUGUCUCGGUGUUAAUGUCGACUAACCUCCCGACCCGUCUUGAAACACGGACCAAGGAGUCUAUCAUGUGCAUAAGUCAUUGGGUUUGUAAAACCUAUUGGCAUAAUGAAAGUAAAUACUGAUUUGGUCAGUUGACGCACGAUCCAGUCGGAUUUAUCUGAUUGGCGCAGUGUGGUCCCAUUUCGAAUGCUUGUCAUUGAGGUGGAGACUGAAUGUACAUGUUGGGAC
rnacentral:rRNA from 1 species